UACGUAGGGACCAAGCGUUGUUCGGAUUUACUGGGCGUAAAGGGCGCGUAGGCGGCGUGGUAAGUCACUUGUGAAAUCUCUGAGCUUAACUCAGAACGGCCAAGUGAUACUGCUGUGCUAGAGUGCAGAAGGGGCAAUCGGAAUUCUUGGUGUAGCGGUGAAAUGCGUAGAUAUCGGGAGGAACACCAGUGGCGAAGGCGGUUGCCUGGGGCUUUGCUGACGCGUGAUGCGCGGAAAGCGUGGGGAGCGAGUCCGG
rnacentral:rRNA from 1 species